rnacentral:lncRNA from 1 species
AUAUAAAACAGAUAAACAAGAAGGUACAACUUUAUAGCACAGGGAACUGCAUUCCAUAUUCUUUUAACAAACUGUAAUGGAAAAGAACAUGAAAAAAAAAAAUAUAUAUAUACAUAUAACUUGAUCCCUUUGCUGAACAUCAAAAAUUAAUACAACACUGUAAGUCAACCAUAAUUUGAUUUAAAAAAUAAUGGCAUAACUAUAAAUCCUGUGUUUAUUAAAAGGAAACUAAGGGAAUAUUAUCAUUUCUAUGCACAUAAGUUUAAAAAGUUAGAGAAAACUUCCCGAUUUCUUAAAAACACAAACUGCCAAAGCUCCCACAAUAUGUAAUAGGUUAACUGAAUUGUUCUAUAAAUAUUGAAGAAAUUGAAUCUGAAAUGUAAAAACUUCUAAGAAAGAAAAAAAGAAAGAAAUCCCUAGGCUCAGAUAGUUUCAAUGGAUAAUUUGUAGAAGUUUGGAAAACUUUCUGGCUGUUUGUAGUUUCUAUGAAAGUUGAACAUAUAAUUAUGAUCCAGCAAUUCUAUUUCCACAUAUAUUCACAGCAUAGAUAUAUAUGAUAUGUAUAUAUGAAAUAUAUAUAAUAUAUGAACAUAUAUAUACCUAUGUUUCUAGUAGUUCCUGUUGCAGCAAUUAAAACCCCAGGAAGAACUUCAGAACUAAAUCUUCUCAGUUUCUUUUAGAAGAACCACAUUCUCUGGACCCAAACAUGUACAUGUGUACGGAUUCCUCAAGCUUCUCUCCAAAAUCAUGUAACUGCUCAAGAGAAUAUGAAAAACUGUGAUAUUAGGUACCUUAAGGAAAUCAACAUACACUUUCAAUUUACCUAAACUUUUUGAAAAAUACUGCUUUUUAAAAUAUCCUUCUUUAAUGAAAUAGGAUGAACAUGAGUUUUAUAUAAUCAUAAUUCUGUUCCUAAAUUCCUUUCUUCUCCAGUAAAUUGCAUUAUGAAAUUGCAAAUUUAUUUACAUUUCUGAAAUAAAAAAUAAUUACUUAAGAAAGAUGAAAAACUUUAGAAAAAUCUUCCAAUGAGUAACUUUUCUGAAAAAAAAAAAAGAUAAGAGAAUCUUAUCUUAUCUUAUCAUUAAAGAAAUGCUGUGGUUCUUACAGUCAGAAUUCCUUUCUUACAGAAGCUUAUGGCAGAUAAUUUAUUGUUCCACAAAAUAUAGAUUUCUCCCUUAGUAAAAAAGAUUUAACUGUCUUUCUAGAUAGAACAUUUCCCAGCCUCCCUGGAACUAGUAAUGGUUAAUAGAUACAUACCGGGGGUAAUUUGGGUCACUCAAUUAAAAUGAAAUCUGUUUUAUUGGAGUUCUCAUUGUGGCUUCGUGGUAAUGAACCCUACUAGUAUGCAUGAGGAUGCUGGUUUGAUCCCUGGCCUAGCUUAGUGGGUUAGGGAUCUGGCAUUGCCAUGAGCUGCACUAUAGGUCACAGACAUGGCUUGGAUCUGGCGUUGCUGUGGCUGGAUCAUAGGCUGGCAGCUGCAGCUCCAUUUCAACCCCUAGCCUGGGAGCUUCCAUAUGCUGUGGGUUUGGCUGUAGAAAAACAAACAAACAAAAAAAUAUGAAAGAAAUGAUUAUACCUGGAUGUUUCUGUGGUAUAGAACCAUCCCACUAACCUGCCUCAUCCACACCUGGAAGUAGGUGGGAAAGAAAUGUAUGUUUUUAGUCAUCAUAUUCUAUGGUUCUUUGUUGUAACCACUUAACUUACACCUUAAGUACAUGUAAAUAUUGAUAAUGAUUUAAUCUAUAAUGAAACCAAUUUGAGUCACUGCCAUGAAACUUUGCUUCUGGUCAAAGCACUCUUACAAAAAUCAGUGCAAUGGCGGUGAGUAUUCCCUUGUAAUUUACUUUCAAAGUAUUUAAUUUCACAUCAUAUUCCACACCAUAAUUUGACAUUCCUUGACAUUUACCAAUAAGUCAUUUUAUAAGAUUGCUUUUAACAUUCAUGUACCUCCAAAUAUUUCUCAUGUGUACAAUUAUGAAUGUAUCUCUUUAAAAUAUUUUUAAGUAUUUUAAAUAUUUAGCUAAUGUACAUUAUGUAUACAUUCUACACACAUUUUGUGUAUCUAAAUACAUAAGAUAUACAUAUAUGUAUUUUUAUAUUUGUAUAUUAGCAUAUAUACAGAUGUGAAUAUAUGUGUAUAUAUAAAAUGAAUAUGGGGAGGGGAAAAUCAAAGAAAAAAUAAGGAAGAAGAGGAAGAGAAAAUAGAAUUGGAGCAGGAAGGAGAGAGAGGGAAAGAGGGAGAGGGAAAAAAACAGCUCCACCAUGCAAGACACAAAGAAUAAAUGAUGAGCAAAACAGGCAUAAUAUCAUUCCAUUUAUAAUCUUAUUAGGGAUAUGGACACUAAUAAAAUUAAUUACACAAUAAAUAUUGUUUAACUGGGGAAAUAGUAUUGAGUUGAGAUUUGAAUGAUGAGUAAGAGAUGACUAGAUAAGAGAGAAUAGAUGACUGUUUAAUUCAAAGGAAACGGUAUGUUCAUAUGCCUUCAAGAUUAAAUACAGAAAUGCGGUGUGUGACUGGAGCAGAAGGUAGGGACCAGAUAGAAUCACGCAGGGCAACAGGCAAAAGUCUUCUUCCCCAUCUUGUUUUUGUUUUCACAAGUAGAGCUGCUGGCACAUUCCUGGCCUCUCUAUCCCUUAUCCUCCUAAUGUCAAGGAGGAUAUCUGACUUUACCUAAUUAGAAAAUUUCAUAACAAUAAACUGGUCAUGUUCAACUCUGUUCCUCUCCUCUCCUUUUUGGUAGUGAGUGAAUCUGUCCACAAUGUCCAGAAUUUCUCCCCAUGACCCCAUAACUUCCUUUUUUGAGAAGAUAGGGAUUUCAGCUUUACCUGUGGCUAGAAGGAGGGAGGAGUUUGCCUAUUUUUGAGGUUGCUUACAAGGUCCAUUUUCUUCCCCAUACUAAGCUUAGAUUUUAUGUCUCAUUUUAGAUUUUAUUAGUAAAAUAGGUCGAUAUUUUAAAAUCACUUAUUUCUCAAAUUUUUGAGAAUAGAGGUUCAGCUAAGGUAGGCUUAGUUAUAUUGCAGUAACAACAUAACCAAAAGAUCAGAAAUGUUAAUAAAGUCUCUUUAUCAAUCAUGGAGUCUACAGUGUUUCUAGAUGACUCCCCACAGCAACUUCUAAGUUUUGACUCAUCAUUCCAGGCUGCUUCAAUAUCAUGGAAUUACAUUUUAACAUAUGCGUUACAUAGUACCAGAGGAAGUGUGCACAGAGAAUCAUUCAUGAUUCUUAAAUGCUUCCACCUGGAAAAUACAUAUGUCAUUUCAAGUUCAUGUUCCAUUGGCCAACAUAAAUCACAUGGCCAUGGUCAUCUCUAAGAGACCUGAUCCCCAAACAGAAUAAGAUCAGAUAUCUUGCUUAAUAAGUUCUAGUAAUGUCUUCCAUUAUCUUCUCUUUCAGAUCAUUUUGCCUAAUCAGAUUUAAUGAGUAGCCUAAGGCAAAAGCUGAAUUGAAAUUUACUCUGAGUAUAGAGAUCCCAGAUUCUAAAUCUGAAUCAUUUGUCUGUGUCUUAAUAGUCUAGCAUCUUACCAUUCCAUUCAUCAGUAAGAGAAGGCGGGAGCAAUAGUUUGGUAGCUCUCAUUUCUACAAUGCUAAGACUGGAAUGUAGAUGUGCAUUUUCUGAGAGCAUUGUAUAUAGGCCUAUUAUAUUAAAUAAUAUAGAGGAAGUGUGAGCAUCUGGAAGUAUCCAAUCCUCAUUCAUCCUUUUUUUAAACUUUUCUAUGGAUUCCCCUUUAGGCUUUUGGUACAAAAAUAAAAUUAUUCUUAACAUAUUAAUCAAUACAGCCUAUCCCUUCAUGUCUCGGAGCUGGAAUUAAAUUGGAUAGACUGGUACAACAGUGACACAGAAAGAACAGAAGUUAAACCCAAGUUCAUGAAGGCCAAUAAUAGCUAAGUCUAUUAAGUCUAUUUCAAGUAGCAAGGAAAGAUGGGGUGAAAUCAAAAAAAGUAUCUCCAAAAAUCUAAUUUUAAAUGUAUUAUUUUAGUGUAAAUAUGAAAUUUUACUCAUGUAUCUCUAAAGUUCAUAAUUUAUUAACCAAUUAUAUUAAUCAUUUGAUAGCUGUCAUAAAUAAAAAUUUUCCUCUAAACCACCUUGGGUAAUCAUUUCUGGAUAUUUUAAGAGUGGUUAAAAUAUUCAUUAAUUUAUUGAUCAAUGUAACUGGUAUCUAUUAGUAUUCUAAGCAAUGCUAUAUUCUGGAAGAAAGACAAAAAUGAGUAAUGGUGAUUUUUUCUAAGAUAAAAAAUUAGUUAUUAUAAUUAUAUAACAGACAUGAGGUUUUAAAAUAAAGAACAAGCAAAUCUAAGCAAAUAUAUGCUUUAUGACCAUAACUAGGAAAAGAUAAAAGCAAAUUUUCAACAUCUACUAGGGAGCAAGCUUCAUUUUAUUCUAGUGCUCUACUGUCCUCGGAAAGUGACUCAUGCUCUUCUAAUUAAAAGGAUAGCAUUUACUUCAUAACUAUGGAACACACUGGGUGGACUUCUCAAAAGCUAUAGUCAAAUUAAUUUCCCCUGUCUUAUUCUGUUAACAAAGCAGUAAAACUAAAAUGCAUAUCGUCCAAGGCUCCCUUGAAGCUAUGAUCAGCCACAUGAAGUGCUCCAUGGAGGACCUGUCUUCCUUUGGUACUUUCCCUUUUUCUUAAUUUAAUGAAACUCGCGUCAGUAUACAUCAAUAAUCCUGUGAUCAUGACAGCUAAAAUCACAGGUUCAAAAAGUGAAUCAAAAGCAUAAAGGAUACCAAGGCCAGCAGCUACAGUUCUGAUUCAAACCUUAGCCUGGAAAC